CGUGUGGUGUUCGACUUCGGGUUGGAUGGCGACACGGCCUGUUUGAGGU
rnacentral:ncRNA from 1 species